AAAGGACUUUGAAAAGAGAGUCAAA
rnacentral:ncRNA from 2 species